rnacentral:rRNA from 1 species
GACGAACGCUGGCGGCGUGCUUAACACAUGCAAGUCGAACGGGCCCGCUCUCUUUUUUGGGGGUGGGUUGAGUGGCGAACGGGUGAGUAUCACGUGAGUAACCUGCCCCCUGCUCCUGGAUAACUGCUUGAAAGGGCGGCUAAUACGGGGUGUGCCGGCUGGUCCGCAUGGGCCUGGUCGGGAUAGUUUCAUCUUCGGGUGUUUCGGUGGGGGAUGGGCUCGCGGCCUAUCAGCUUGUUGGUGGGGUGAUGGCCCACCAAGGCGGUGACGGGUAGCCGGCCUGAGAGGGUGGGCGGCCACACUGGGACUGAGACACGGCCCAGACUCCUGCGGGAGGCAGCAGUGGGGGGUAUUGCACAAUGGACGGAAGCCUGAUGCAGCGACGUCGAGUGAGGGAUGGAGGCCUUCGGGUUGUGAACCUCUUUCUCCGGUGGUGAAGGCCCUGUCCGUUGCGGCGGGGUUGACGGUAGCCGGUUAUGAAGCGCCGGCUAACUACGUG